CCAUCCUGGAGGCUUCAUUUCUCUCUCUCUCUCACGCGCCGCCCUUGGAUUCUUCAACUAUAUAUACCGUAUUGCACCCCACUUCCUGUUCAAUCUUCAAUCCUUCAUUUUCUCUUUAAACUCAUAUCAUUUGUUUGAAGCUUUGUUCUAAAUUUUCAUUUCUUUUACCGAAUUUAUUGCUCGAUCGAAGAUGAAUUCAAUGUUGAGCGCUAAAUCGUGGAGUUUCUCCAUCAUCGGAUUUAUGCUGAUGGCGUUAAUCCGGUACAGUAACGGACAAGGAAUGGCGCCGUCGCCGGCACCGGCUGGUCCUUCCAACGACGGUGAGUAUAUUCGUUGGAAAUGUAUAUUUCUCUUUGUGAAACACGUGAUUUUACUCAUGAAAACUGUUCGAAAUUCUAGAUUUGUCGCAACAUCUUCUUCAUUUUCUAUUUCAGUUGUUAAAAUUGGGAGA
rnacentral:lncRNA from 1 species